UUCCUCUCCCUCCCUCUCUGUGCCUCUCUCUCUCUCCCUCUCGAGCGCACUCCCUCUCUCUGCUUCUCCUUCUCCAUCUCCGGCCCUCUCCCUCCCUCCCUCUCCCUCUCCCUCUCCCUCUCCGCUCGCUCUCUCUCUCUCUCUCUCUCAAAACCCUAGUCCUCUCUCUCUAUCUCCUCCGCCCUUUGCUGCAACAUCAUGUAUCUCUCUUUCCGCUCGAUCUACCGCACAUCAAGGAGCAUUCUGCUGCAACAUUAGUUAACAACGAGAGAUACAAGUGGAACUGCAAGCAUUGGGAUUCCAUCAGUGCCUGGAAAUGCAAGCUUGCUUGGGUUUGCAAGGCCAAGAGGAUGAACUCUGACCGAAUUAGAAGCCUAGUUAGCAGAACUCCAUGGAAAGAGAGGCCCUCAUUGAUGUAGUUUUUGUUUUCCAGACUGCCCCAAACGCCAUGGAAGCUCCACCAACCAUGAUUUGGUAGUACACCCAAAUGCACUAAGAGGGAAGGAGGGAGCUUGAAAGUAAGUGAGAUGUGGAUGUUGCAGCCUAAGAAUCUAUGUUGAUAGUCUCUCUUGGAACACUUGUCUUCAUUUUUCAAUGGCUUGUUGCUUCCAAAUUUUCCAGGUGAAGUUACCCUUCAAUUAGAAGUUAUAAAAUAAUUUAUGGUUCAUAAGCCCUUGUAUUCAAAGUUGGAUAUAUUAAUGGUUCCUUUUUAUAUUGUUUUUUGUGCUCCACAUCUGAUCCAUUUUGUUGCAAGAUCUGCUAUCUCAUUCCCCUACACUUUCAAGUGUAGCUAUACAAAAUGGGAUUGGGAAGCCUGAUGCAUACAGUCAAGAAGAACAGUAUUGUAAACCAUUUGGACUACUUUGAUGUUCAGCUUUUGUGUGGAGAUGUGGGGCUCAUGCUGAGUUGUAAUGGGAGAAGUACUGUAAUGGAUUGCACAGAUCUCAACGGUAGCUUUGUCUUAUUGACGGAUCCUUCUCUUCCAUCCUAAAACUAAAUACACAAACUGAAAGCAGUCACAUCUCUGUUAAGAUUUAUUCAGGGGUCAACAACUAUAUUGUCUUACAGUUGGUUUUUCAAGCAUAUCUAGUUCUUCAUAUAAAUGCAUGUAGAAGAGAACCUAUGGAAAAUUCCUUGAAUGGGUUUUAGGAAGAAAUCUUAGUCAAAGUCGUGCAUUAUCACCCUUCAUGUGAAUAUGAAUCCAGAUUGGGAUGGACACUAUUAAUUUCACCUGAAUUUUCAAGUUUACUUUUCUCAUGUCAUUGAUUAAACUAUUCUAACUGUAUGUAAGGGUUUUGGAAAUUCAUAUUCUAGGUAUCCAUCAAAUAGGAGUGAAACAGAAUCAGCAUUCUCUCAUCUUCGGCAUCGUCAAGGUUUUCCGAAAUAUCUGCUGAUUUAUCGGAGGCAACAAUAGCGCACUGCCACUUAAUCGUCAUUUUCAAAUUUUGAUGAAAUGAGCUCAGUUAUGGACUCAUAUGAAUUGAGAUCCGUCUCGGAUCUACCUGCACCUUUUCGGCCAACUAUUAGUUUCAGGUAUUGUUCUCUAUGUUUGUGUUUGGAUACAGUAUUGAAAUUAACUGCAAUUGUUUGUUAGUAAAGUGGAAAUAACUAGAUUGUGAUUUCCUCAACAUUGGUAUUGCUUUCUUCAACAUUGGUAUGUAUUCUUUUUUAACAACUUACUUUGAAAACAUGAUCAACUUUUGCAUCAGGAGCAUGACAAGUAGCCUACAACCUUUUCUCCAUGCUUUGUAAGGUGUUUGAACAUCUCAAAUCUACCUCCAUAAAAGCAUUCCUUUUGUAGUCCUACAGUAGUCAUUCCAGAUCAGUAGCAUAUCACAAUUCACAGGUGCAACAUGCUCAAAUAGAUCUAUGGAAGAAUGGCGAGUCCAUUUUCUUGUUGCUAAAAAAAAAGGAAGUUGGGUAUUAAUAACGACAGAAGCUAGACUACAUUAUCUUAUGACAUCAAAGAAAUGCUUGAAAGAAAUCAGAAAAGCAUAGAAUAAAGCUGGCAAAUAGACAUGGGAUGCAUUAGACCUUAACUUUCAAGAGUGAUAAUGUGUAGCUAUUAAAAGUGGCCUUGGCUUUAAUACCAGCUAUUAACAUAUCAUCAAAGCCUCUCGAAGUUUGAUUCC